CGGUGUUCAACUGGCGUGUCCGCGGGACGUCCUGCCGGUGGGCUUAGCCCGCAAGGGCGGCCCAACUUCAAAUCCCAUCGCGGUGCUCUUCACUGAGUGUCGAGGUGGGCCGGCACGUUUACUUUGAACAAAUUAGAGUGCUUAAAGCAGGCUAAAACUUCGCCUGAAUACUGUGUGCAUGGAAUAAUGGAAUAGGACCUCGGUUCUAUUUUGUUGGUUUUCGGAACCCCGAGGUAAUGAUUAAUAGGAACGGAUGGGGGCAUUCGUAUUGCGACGUUAGAGGUGAAAUUCUUGGAUCGUCGCAAGACGGACAGAAGCGAAAGCAUUUGCCAAAAACGCUUUCAUUGAUCAAGAACGAAAGUUAGAGGUUCGAAGGCGAUCAGAUACCGCCCUAGUUCUAACCAUAAACGAUGCCAGCUAGCGAUCCGUCGACGUUCCUCCGAUGACUCGACGGGCAGCUUCCGGGAAACCAAAGCUUUUGGGUUCCGGGGGAAGUAUGGUUGCAAAGCUGAAACUUAAAGGAAUUGACGGAAGGGCACCACCAGGAGUGGAGCCUGCGGCUUAAUUUGACUCAACACGGGAAACCUCACCAGGCCCGGACACCGGAAGGAUUGACAGAUUGAGAGCCCUUUCUUGAUUCGGUGGGUGGUGGUGCAUGGCCGUUCUUAGUUGGUGGAGCGAUUUGUCUGGUUAAUUCCGAUAACGAACGAGACUCUAGCCUGCUAACUAGGCGUAUUUUCGACAUCUCAAAGGUCCGUCGUCCCGGCCCUCGGGUCGUGGGCGUGCGCGAUUUUUACUGUCGGCGUACUAUCAAUUCUUCUUAGAGGGACAGGUGGCUUCUAGCCGCACGAGAUUGAGCAAUAACAGGUCUGUGAUG
rnacentral:rRNA from 1 species